GCAGACGCGGAUUAAACCCUCCUCUGUGCGCAAUUAACCAACGAACCGAUUAAUUAUGGCGGCGAUACCCUCCGCCGGAGUAGAAGCACUGCACCGCCUGAAACUGACGGAGCCACCGAUGUACCUAACUCCAUCGUCGGAACUUGCUACUGCCGCUCGUAUUGCUUCGGAGCACUUGUUCGCUUCACUCAAACCCUACACUCCUAAAUCACCAUUCGACCGCCUCCUUGUAGACGAGAAGUUCGACGCCGAGCAGAUUUGGCAGCAAAUUGAUCUUCAAUCUCAGCCGUUGAUAUCCGCCAUCCGCCGUCAAGUAAACAAGUUUGAGAAGGAUUCACAAGAGCUUAAAGAUAUUUUUAAGAGUGGUGAGUCUGAUAAAGAGCAGAAGAGGGAGUUGGUUUUAGAGGAGAAAGAAGAAGAAGAAGACGACGACGAAGAGGAUGAGGAUGAGGAUGAUGAACUCGAUGACGAAAGCAACGAAGAAGAGGAUGAGGAUGAGAUUGAAGAAGAUGAAAGCAGAGACGGAGAGAGAGAACGUAAAGAGAGAGGCGGAGUUGGUGUUGAAGAUAAGUUUUUAAAUAUACAGGAGAUGAAGGAGUUCAUGGAAGAUGAUGAAGCUAGAGAAUACGGAGUUAACAAAAAGAAACAAGUGGUGAAGAAAAUGUCUAGAAAGUUUGGGGAAGACGAUGAAGAAGAAGACGAUGAUGAAGACGACGACGAUGAGCUUGGAGUUCUUGAACUUGCAGGGGAAGAAGACAUGUCAGAUGCUGAAGAUGCUAGAUACGAGGACUUCUUUACGUCUACAAAGAAACGUGACCAGAGUAAGAAACCUAAAGUGAGCGAGAAAGUGGAAGAUAUAGACAUAAGCGAUGAAGAAGAAACUGAGGAUUCAGACACAGGUGAUGAAGAUGAUGAUGGCAUGGGAUCCGAUGAUGAGAUGAAGAUAGAUAAUCUUUCUACUCAUGAGAAGCAACUUCUAGAACAGCGUGCCAAAAUAGAGGAAGUGGAGAGGGAAAACUUGGAAGCAAAAUCGUGGACCAUGCAGGGAGAGGUAAACGCUACUAAAAGACCUAAGAAUAGUGCCUUAGAAGUUGAUUUGGAUUGGGAGCGCAAUGCAAAGCCACCGCCAGUAAUCACGGAGGAGGUUUCCCAGUCCAUUGAAGAGCUAAUCAUGAAGCGGAUAUCCGAGGGACACUUUGAUGAUGUUCAGAAGGCUCCUAGUUUACCUUCUAAAGCACCAAGAGAAAUGAAGGAACUGGACGAGAAUCAGAGUAAGAAGGGCCUUGGUGAAAUAUAUGCGGAUGAGUAUGCUCAGAAGACUGGCCUGGUUUCACAAGCAUUGUCUUUCUCAGAUGAGCAAAAAAAGGAGAUAUUUCACUUGAUGUUGUUAGGCAAGUCUUCUUUUCAAGAAAUUGUGCUUGAAGUUGGAUGCUCUAUCGCAUUUCCACUUCACUCCAAAACCAGUGAUUGAAGACAUGUCUAUUCAAACAAAUGUACCUGCUUUAGCAAUGGAAGAGAUUGCACCUUUGGCUGUCUCGGAUGCCGCCAUGCUGGCUCCUGAGGAAGUAUUUUCUGGCAAAGGAGAUAUCAAAGAAGAAGCAGAACUAACACAGGAAGAUAGAAAGAGGAGGAGAGCUCACAAGAAAAGGAAAUUUAAAGCUGAGAAUGCAAAGACGAUAGCAAAGAAGCCAAGGGAAAGAACGGAGACAGCCGCUGAUGGCAAGGAAGAAUCAUGACUUAAUAUCAAAAACUCGUUUGCCGUUUGAUUGAUAUUUUCGGGAGAAUAUUUCUGGUGGUUUUUGAUUCCACACUGAUGAAGGAAAGAGAGAACUCUCGGAAUCGAAAUUGUUGGCCGAACAGUCGAUGGUCGUGAAUUACGGGUCAUCCAUUUGGGAAGUUUUGUUCUAAACAUACUAUAGAGGUGAAGACAAGUAUAUUAUCUGGGUAGAAAGAGUGGCAUUUCCAUGUCAGAUUGAGUUUUUUCCAUAUUUGUUUUCCGACCUAAGAGGGACAAGAUGCCAUUUUGAAUUUCUAAAAACAAUCAUUUUCUUGUAACAGGUUAACAAAGAAAAACAUGUUCAAAAGGUAACAUGUUAUCCAAU